AUGUGAGAAGAAACUGAGCUCCGUGUUAACUCAGUUGACUCGCUACGUUGGAAUUAGUAAAUUGGAUAUAAUAUUUCUAUUUAUUAUUAUUUGACUUUACCCUUCCGGAUUAUAUGGUAUAUAUGAGCUCAAUAGGCUUGAUUUAUUUACGGCAUUAUAAUUUAUUUGAGAAUUGUGUUUCUCUGUGAUUUAUCUGGUUAUUUAAUUGUGCUAGUCCUACGUGGUGUCUAGUAAUCUUAGAGUUAGGGGUCGUUCAGAUAUUAACCUAUUUAUUAUUUUAGACCCGUCGACUGCUCGUGCUUCGGAGUCUACGGAGGGUUAGCUGUUUGCCAAGAUCACGUGGAUAAGCAAGCAGUUUAUGAUUUGAGAGCUGGUCCACUCCGAUUCUUUUGAUUCCUCGGAGGUUUUUAUGUUAUUAAACUAGUUUCUAUUUUUCGAACUCUUAGACCGCAGUAGAACUAGUUUAUACAUUACUUAUUAUUGUACUUUGGGAUUGUCGAUUGAGCGACUAUUUAUAUUUGCCAUGUUCACUCUGGAAUAUUAUUUAUUUAUAUAUAAGGCAUGCUGUUGAACCUUUCA